rnacentral:ncRNA from 1 species
GUUGGGGAUAAUUCAAUUUUUUGUUGUUAAAUAAUAUUUUUAGGAACUAUAAUAUAUUUUAUCUUGGUAUUUUGAUUUACUUGUUUAUUUUUUUUAUAUGCAAUCUCUUGAAAUAAAUCUUUAAUUAGCAGUAAAUAAAAUUAAUUAUUAUAAUAAAAUUAGAUUUAGAAAUAUAAAAUUAAAAUUAACUAAUUUUGUGCCAGCAGUUGCGGUUACACAAUUAAUUUAACGUAAAUUUAAUGAUAAAGUUUUUUCUUAUUUUAAUCUAAAUCAAAUUUAAUUUUUAGGUAAAAUUUUAAUUAAAUGAAGUUUUAGAGUUUUAAAAAAAAUUAAUUUUUAGUAAAAACCAGGAUUAGAUACCCUGCUAUAAAAAUUUAAAAAUUGUUGAAGUAGUAACAGUUAUAAUCUUUAAACUUAAAAGAUUUGGCGGUAUUUUAUCUUAUUAGAGGAAUCUGUAAAUUAAUUGAUAGUCCACGACUUGAAUUACUUUAAAAAUUUUACUUGUAUACCGCUGUCAAAAAUGUAUUAAUAAAUUGAUUUUUAUGGAAUUUUUAUGGAAUUUAUGUUAGGUCAAGGUGCAGUUUUUUGGAGUUUUUAUGGAUUACUAUUGGUAGAAUGAAUGGAUUUGUGUGAUAAAAAUAUAAUGAAAAAGGAUUUAAAAGUAAAUUUCUAUAUAGAGUUAUAGAAUGAAUAUUAGUUUCUAAAAUAUGUACAUAUUGCCCGUCACUCUUAUUUAAAAUAAGAUAAGUCGUAACAUAGUAGAAGCACCGGAAGGUGCUUCUGGAAUUA